rnacentral:rRNA from 1 species
UACGUAGGGGGCAAGCGUUGUCCGGAUUUAUUGGGCGUAAAGAGCUCGUAGGCGGCCAAGUAAGUCUGCUGUGAAAACUCGAGGCUUAACCUCGAGCUGUCGGCGGAAACUAUUUGGCUAGAGUCCGGAAGAGGAGAAUGGAAUUCCCGGUGUAGCGGUGAAAUGCGCAGAUAUCGGGAAGAACACCCGUGGCGAAGGCGGUUCUCUGGGACGGUACUGACGCUGAGACGCGAAAGCGUGGGGAGCGAACAGG